UUCCGGUUGAUCCUGCCGGAGGCCAUUGCUAUUGGGAUUCGAUUUAGCCAUGCUAGUCGCACGAGUUCAGACUCGUGGCGAAUAGCUCAGUAACACGUGGCCAAACUACCCUUCGGAACACGAUACCCUCGGGAAACUGAGGCUAAUAGUGUAUACCACAGUCCACCUGGAAUGAGGACUGUGUCAAACGCUCCGGCGCCGAAGGAUGUGGCUGCGGCCGAUUAGGUAGACGGUGGGGUAACGGCCCACCGUGCCAAUAAUCGGUACGGGUCAUGAGAGUGAGAACCCGGAGACGGAAUCUGAGACAAGAUUCCGGGCCCUACGGGGCGCAGCAGGCGCGAAACCUUUACACUGCACGACAGUGCGAUAAGGGAAUCCCAAGUGCGUAGGCAUAGAGCCUACGCUUUUGUCUACCGUAGGGAGGUAGACGAAUAAGGGCUGGGCAAGACCGGUGCCAGCCGCCGCGGUAAUACCGGCAGCCCGAGUGAUGGCCGAUCUUAUUGGGCCUAAAGCGUCCGUAGCUGGCCGCACAAGUCCAUCGGAAAAUCCACCCGCUCAACGGGUGGGCGUCCGGUGGAAACUGUGUGGCUUGGGACCGGAAGGCGCGACGGGUACGUCCGGGGUAGGAGUGAAAUCCUGUAAUCCUGGACGGACCGCCGAUGGCGAAAGCACGUCGCGAAGACGGAUCCGACAGUGAGGGACGAAAGCUAGGGUCUCGAACCGGAUUAGAUACCCGGGUAGUCCUAGCCGUAAACAAUGCCUGUUAGGUGUGGCUCCCACUACGAGUGGGUGCUGUGCCGUAGGGAAGCCGCUAAACAGGCCGCCUGGGAAGUACGUCCGCAAGGAUGAAACUUAAAGGAAUUGGCGGGGGAGCAC
rnacentral:rRNA from 1 species